rnacentral:rRNA from 1 species
GACGAACGCUGGCGGCGUGCCUAAUACAUGCAAGUAGAACGCUGAAGCUUGGUGCUUGCACCGAGCGGAUGAGUUGCGCACGGGUGAGUAACGCGUAGGUAACCUGCCUGGUAGCGGGGGAUAACUAUUGGAAACGAUAGCUAAUACCGCAUAACAGUAGAUAUCGCAUGAUAGCUACUUGAAAGGUGCAAAUGCACCACUACCAGAUGGACCUGCGUUGUAUUAGCUAGUUGGUGAGGUAACGGCUCACCAAGGCAACGAUACAUAGCCGACCUGAGAGGGUGAUCGGCCACACUGGGACUGAGACACGGCCCAGACUCCUACGGGAGGCAGCAGUAGGGAAUCUUCGGCAAUGGACGGAAGUCUGACCGAGCAACGCCGCGUGAGUGAAGAAGGUUGUCGGAUCGUAAAGCUCUGUUGUAAGAGAAGAACGAGUGUGAGAGUGGAAAGUUCACACUGUGACGGUAUCUUACCAGAAAGGGACGGCUAACUACGUG